CGGUCCAGACUCCUACGGGAGGCAGCAGUGGGGAAUUUUGGACAAUGGGGGCAACCCUGAUCCAGCAAUGCCGCGUGAGUGAAGAAGGCCUUCGGGUUGUAAAGCUCUUUUGUCAGGGAAGAAAAGGCUGUGGCUAAUAUCUGUGGCUCAUGACGGUACCUGAAGAAUAAGCACCGGCUAACUACGUGCCAGCAGCCGCGGUAAUACGUAGGGUGCAAGCGUUAAUCGGAAUUACUGGGCGUAAAGCGUGCGCAGGCGGUUUUGUAAGUCU
rnacentral:rRNA from 1 species